rnacentral:tRNA from 1 species
GGGGUUGUAGCUCAGUGGUUAGAGCAGCGGGCUCAUAACCUGUUGGUCGAAGGUUCAAUCCCUUCCAGCCCCACCA